UACGUAGGGGGCAAGGGUUGUCCGGAAUCAUUGGGCGUAAAGCGCGUGUAGGCGGUUUCGUAAGCCUGCUGUGAAAGUCGGAGGCUCAACCUUCGAAAGCCGGUGGAUACUGUGAGACUUGAGUACGGAAGAGGAGAGUGGAAUUCCUGGUGUAGCGGUGAAAUGCGCAGAUAUCAGGAGGAACACCAACGGCGAAGGCAGCUCUCUGGGACGUAACUGACGCUGAGACGCGAAAGCGUGGGGAGCAAACAGG
rnacentral:rRNA from 1 species